rnacentral:lncRNA from 10 species
UCAGUGGGUGCCCUGUCCCUGCCUGCCACCUGGACAGAGUGCUGUGGGGCCCCCGCCUGGCCCCCAACCACCCAGGGAUCUUGGUCAACGAACUUCACCUACAUGAAUCUUCGUUUCCUCAUGUGAAAAAUGGAGAGAGGCAGCGGAGGAUCAUCAGGAUUAAUAAACGGAAGACGAAGUAAAGUACUGCAGGCAGCAAGUGGC